CCAUUUGACUGAUUCUUCUUCUUCUUCCAUUUCCAGGGUUGCCAUGGUGAAAAAUGCUUCCAGGUCCCAGGAGAGGGAAACAGUGUUGUAUAGGAGAAGGAACUUUGGGAGCUGUGCUGGAUGCAGCAGUUGAAGACCAUGGUGAAUGGCUUGGAUGCCACUCUGAAGGCAGUAGGUAGUUGCAUGAGUUUAAGCAGAGUAGAGAUGUGAGGUUGGGCUUGGGUAAAUCUUUUCUCUCACUCGCUUCUCCAAAGCAUCCCCAUCUUCUACGGACUGUUCUCUUGACUGGGAACACAGCUCACAAAGUCUCAGAUAGGUCUCACAGGAAGCUGAAGAAGUGCCUGGGGCCUAUUUUCCCAGUGGUGGGACUGCUGGCUGUCAGCACACAGAAGGGAGGAAGUGAAUCCUAGGGUCUUCCUAGAAAGAAGGGAUCUUUCAAUUCCCUGGGCCAAAGCCUAUAUCACACCAAGCGCACACUACAAUCAUUUCCUUCACUUUCAUCAUUUUUCAGUACCGUAAGUCCUCAAUUUACAAAUGAGUUCUGCACUGGGAGAACAUUCAUAAGUUGGAUUCAUUCAUAGGUUGGACUUGUUUGUAUCUGACAAAGUGAGUCUUACAUACCUUUGACACAAAUAUACAACGUAAAGCAUAAAAAAACCCCCAAGCCUCCACAUCACCACUGUUUUUCCUCUUGCUUCCGGACAUUCUGGACUCUGAUUGUGUACUGUACUCCUGACACUAUCUUCACUGUACAGUAAGCACACAGCAGCACAACUGUGACAAUGUCUGGCAGACACAUGAGCUGCUUCUGUAAUUUGUUCUCAUCUACAAAUGUUCGUAAUGCCAGGUCUAUUUGUAUCUGUGGAAGUUCACAACUCGAACGUUCGCAAGUCGAGGAUUUACUGUAAUUGGCAUCUCACGCUAUUUUCCC
rnacentral:lncRNA from 1 species